CAACAGAAUGCGUGUGUCCGCGAUAGAGUGUGGGGAGCGACGGUUGCGCAGCUGGAUCCUCGAACGGUAAUAUCGUCCUUGAGAAAGACAUUGGCAUUAGAGACUACGUGGGUUCAGAAGAAUGCGGGGGUGAUCUCACCGACAGUUACGCAAUUCUUAGAAAGCUUGUCAGAGUAGAUGGAGGAAGGAUGCUUCCCUUGGCUGGAACCAGGCAUCACAGACUUACAGUAGGGACAGGAAAAUAAGAAAGGAAGCAUUUCACGGAGAGGGGUUUGAAUUUCUAGGAUUCUCUACUCGAGAGAGCCGUGGAGCUCAGUACAUUCCUGAGAGAUCGAUAUACUGUACUAGCUCAUUGCUGCGGUAUUGGACCCACCGUGAUCUUACUGAAAGGUGCAGCAGCCACGAGAGGCCUCUGGCCUAUUGUUUCUUGCAUUGUUGUCUCAUAUAUUUUGGCGCCUAACUAUGGAAUUAGCCAGAGAAACUUCCACCCAUUGAACUACUCUAACCUCUUAAAGCCUUUAAACGCAUUUGUACGCGAGGUGAGAUAAUACGGCGCCUUUCGCGACCUCGGAACUUUUGAGAUACUUUACAGAGUUAUGUUGAUCCGGGUAGAAGAUCAGACACACGGCUAACCGGGGCACACAACGAUAUUAUGUUAAGAUAAACUGCUUUUCAGCAUUAAAAUUGGGAAAGGAGACCGCGAAGGUUUUCUACUCAUUGAGCUAUUGUCUCCAUGAAAGAGCGGCAUAUCUGACUAAAGUGUUAACCUGGACCCAUUCCUGUUCAGGUGCAUGGAAACCACAACCCUCGAAAUGCAGGUGCUGUCGCUCAACCAGGUGCCACCAAUGUAUUCCAACAAAGUAACCAAGAGUUCUCUUCUUUUUCUGGGGUUGGGGGGAGGGGGGAGGGAGAGAAAAAAACAUGUCAAAGAUCUUCCCUUCACAAAUUUAUUUUACGAAGUCUCCUCACAAUAUGUCCAUCACAGGGUUUUCGUUUGGGGUUGCUUUGAAUCAGUUGGCUUGCAAGCUGACUUUAAAUUCUGCCUGAUAAAGAAUUAACUGUAAAGCCCUGUUUCGGAAAAACUUGCUUCCGAGAUUCUUUCACCACUCGACGAAGCUCUCAGAACCUUGUGCGUACUUGUUAUUUUAAAAAAAACUUACGGGGCAGAAAACAGCCAUGCGAAAAAUCUGAAGCACAGUGCUGGAACAGGGUUGCUAUGAUAAAAAAAACCCUGCAGGUGCGGGAAGUAUGCUGGAUAUAAGUGCUGGAAGCAUUCAGCAGGUCGGUCAGCACAUCUGUGAAGAGGAGUAGACUCAGGUCGAAGACCUUUCAGCAGAGCAGAGGUUAAAAUUGACUAUUUCAUUAAAGUUAACAGCAAGUUUUUUUUCAAUGCUGUUUUGUAUUGAGGAUAGUGUGUGCGUGUGUGUGUGAGAGACGGAGAGCGGGAGAGAUAUACUGAGAGUCGAUAGACCAUUAACCCUCUCACUCCUGAAUAUCCUUCAUCCCGUUAUAAAAGCUUAUAAAAUACACACAGGACCUGUUCAUCCUCAAUCCCUUAAAGCCCGAUGGAUAAAGACAACGAACAAUUACCGGAUCCGAAUCAGGUUUAUUACUACUGAUCUAUGUUUGCAACAGCACUGCAAUGCGACACUUACACAAAUGACAGUAAGUUACGAUAAGAAACGUAUAUUAAAUAAGUCGUGCAAAACCUGAGAUAGCGUUCACUAGUUUCAAGGUUCGUUCAGAAAUCUGAUGGCGGAGGGGAAGAAGCAGUUCCUAAAAUGAUGAGUGUGCGUCUUCAGGCUCCUGUGCCUUUUCCCUGACAGUAAUGAGAAGAAGGCAGGUCCUGGGAGGUGAGGGUCCUUAAUGAUGAAACACAGAAAGUUUCGGGGAAUAACUGUCACGUGGAAGUUUUUUUUUAAAUUUACCUUUCCUCUGACGGGACUAAUGAAAUGAAUAUAGUUAUUGAAUGUUUGCCUGGAUAGUCUGUAACAAGGUAAUCGAAUAAACCCAUCUGCAUGGCACAAACCACAUGCCCAACAGCGCCACUGGCUGGGACCAACACUUGACCAUGAAUGAACGGAAACUUAGUCAGUGGGUUGGAUUUUAACACCAGACAGAUAAUCGGACCGCGACCAGAGAGACCCAGAGCCCAGCAACGGGAAUCAAAUCCGAAAAUUCCCAAUACCUAUUUUCAAUUAUUAGCAGAGGACUGCCUUUUCCCUAGUGAUGAUGUACAAAGCACGGACACAGUUUCAAUCAUUUUAAUCAUUGCGGAAGGGUUCUAUCCCGUUAUAAACUUUAACACUUAAUAUUAUUUAGCAAAGCAUCCCGUAUGUUGGUCCGAAGAAAGUAGUAUAUUCAGACAACCCUAUUGCACAACACCCCUAAACACCAAGUCCAGGUUUCAUCAUACCAACGUAAUACGUCAUUUCAAGGGUUCUAUCCGCCAUCGGCGUUGGCUUCUCCUGAAUCCCUUUGAAGGAAAAUUUGUGUUUCGGUGGUUUUAACGCUCAACAAUAUGUGUCUGAAUGGAAUUAACGCAAGCUGGUUUCCUUUCUCCGCAACAACUCAAGUCAGUAACUGAACAGACAGAUACAAUAGUUUUCAGGCAAAUCUAAACAAAUCUCUGUUGUCAGUGAUGUUUUCGCAAAGGACACGUAAGGAUUUUGCGUUCCAAACCACUUGAUUAGAUUUAUUGCAGUCUGAACGCCACGUUCCAUCUGCUUAUUAUAAACGAGACCCACCCUCUAAUAACACAUUGUUAAGGUGCCACACGUUGUGUUUUACAUGAAAACUUAUGUUCAUUAAUCAUAAGUUUGCAGCAAGCUUCAUUGUUAUACUGUCAACUGAAUAACAUUUGACGUCUAUGGUUGCUAAGCAUUUUAUUCUAAUACACACGAAAUAUAAUACAGCAUUGGUAACAACCAAUGGGCACGAGUCACAUUCAAAUAUAUUAUGAACACCAUCAGUUAGGGAGAUGGGCCGAGGAAGAGCAAAAUGGAUUUCAACGUAGAGGUAAUGCAUUUUGGACUGUCAAACCAGGGUAGGACAUAUACGGUGAAUGGUGGAGUACCGGUGAGUGUUGUUGAAUAGAGUGUCCUGGGAGGGCGAGUGCAGAAUUUCCUAACAGCGGCCACGCUGGUGGUGAAGGUUUUUAACAUGAUGGACUUCAUCGAGUUGAGUAGUGGGAACGGCACGGAAGCGUAGAGGUUAGAACAAAGCUUUACAGCACUAGUGACUCGGUUACAAUAGCGGCAGGAAUUGAACCGGGGUCGAUUCUCCGGUUUUCUCCGGGUGUUCCGGUUUCCUCCCACAGUGCAAAGGCUUACUGGUCAUUGGCCAUUGAUGGCCAUCAAAGGCUAAUUGGCCAUUGUCUCUGAUUAGGCUAGGGUUAAAUCGGGAAUUGUUGGGCACUUUGAGCCGGAAGGGCCUACUCUACACUGUAUUUCAAUAAAUAAGUUAUGUUGUAGUUAUAUAAGUCGUUGGCACGCCCUUGUGAUAUUGAGUACAGUCUUGGCCACCCAGUUGGAGGAAAUACAUUGUUAAGCCGGGCGGGGAGCCUGUUUGGCUUUAAGCAGAGGUUGGCGACUCUCGAUCUUUAUUUGCUGGAGCAGAGGAGAACCUCACAGAAGUUCAUAAAGUCAUAAGGAAUUUGCAUAAGAUGGAUGGUCGUACUCUUUUCCCCAGAGCUCGGGAAUCUAUAAGGCACCGACAUAAGAGUCGAAAUACUUGAGAGGUAACUUCAUCAUGCAGAGAGUAGUGAGAACUUGGAAUGAGCUGCCAGAGGAAAUGGUCGAGCUGGGUGCAACCGCCGCACUUCCGAGGCAUUUGGAUAGGCACAUGGAGGGGACGGGUUUGAGGAGGUUUGAGCCGAACGCGGGAAACUGGGACUAGCAGGAAGGAUAGGGUGGUCAGCAUGGACCAGCUGGGCCGAACGGCCUGUUUCUGCACUGCAUUACACUAUAAUACUCAUACCUGUACAUCUGAACACACAUUUCAAGGGAAGGAGCUAGCUCAGACAUUUUACUUAGGAAUAUAACGAAUUCUAGUUUAUUGUAAUAUUGCUAAUUUUGCAAAUUCAAAUUGUUCAGACUGUCAGUUAUGUUAUUUAUAUACAAAGUAUAAUAUAGUUAGAUCGAUUAUCUAAUUCUGAUACAGUUGUUACGGUGGUUUUGACAUGGGGAGGUGCGGCAAAUAUCACUUUCUGCCCAGUCUUUUUUGCACCCGGUUUAUUCUGCGUCAGAUAGAACUCUUGCGCUAUCUCGGCUUGAGUUUGAGCAUCAAUCCGAGAGAACUGCCGCAGGCGGUUUCAUUCCGCCUCCCACCGGCGCACGGCGGAACCACCAGCCCACGGUUGCAAAAAGCACCGCGUCAGAAUGCAACACACAGAAAUUCCGGAGGAAUUCAGCAAGUCAGGCAGCAUCUAUGGAAAUCAUCACAGUCGACGUUCCGGGCCGAGUCCCAAAGUCCUGGCCGAAACGCCGUCUGUUUAUUCAUUUUCAUAGAUGCUGCCUGAUUUGCUGAGUUCCUCCAGCGUUCUGAGCGCGUUGCUUCGGAUUUCCAGCGUCUACAGAACUUCACGUGUUUGUGAACAUGUCAGAAUGUGAAACAGAGCCAAUGGACCUUGGACCGCAGCCUGGAGCCCUGACCUCCUUGUGACCUGAUUUCUCCUUCCCUAUUCUGCUUUCAGCCCACUUAUUUCGAAAGUGAUGAAGUAAUCGUGACUCGCCUUUAGGUAAUCAGGAUCACUGUGUUCCAGAAACGAAACACUCUCCGUUAUCACCUGAAGGAGAUGCGGGAUUCGUGGAUCGCUACGCGCUGUGGCCGCUCCCUGCCAGCGGCGUAUCUAAGGUACGGUAGGUAUGGUACGUGCCCUGGGCGCCUCUUGAAGGGGGGGGGGCGCCACUGAGCAGUUUCUAUUAAAGUCAGACAAGCCAACCUGGGAUAGUGAGAAAAGAAUUUUCUUCAGAUUUAUGAUCUGCCUUUAAUUAUCAUGGGUGAGGAGCACUAGGAUGGCCUUAUUUCAGAGCAUUGUGUGAGAAGACCAUGAAAGGUUUCUUCACGAGGGAGGAUAGUGGAGCUGAAGGACGGAAGAGACGGAAGUUGGAGGCGGAGGAAGCCAAGCAGUCGAGCAAGUUCCUCAUGCUUUGAAAAGCCUGGAACAAGUAGUUCAACACGUUCUAUGGAGUUGCCUGCACCUGCUAUAAGUUUGUUAGAAUCCAAAGGUGGAUCAAGUAUAAAUGCAUCACAAGCCGAGGAGGUAGUCAAGUCAAAUGAAUCUGAGUAUGACGAGAUUAAGAGUGAGGCAGAAGAGAACAGAGGACGUGGACGUGAUGGGAGGGGAAGAUGAUGGUGGUGGUGGUGAUGUUAAGUUUAUUGAUGAGAUUUUACCUGACAAGAUUGAACCUGACGACACUGAACCUAGUGAACUGGAUGGUAUCAAAGAGCCUCGAACAGUCAUAUCAGAAGUGAUUGAAUAGCAUGACAUUGAACUUCUGAAGUUUGACAAGAAUACUGGAAAAGCAAUUCUGCCUGAUGUGUUGAGAAUAGAAAUAAUAAAGCUGGGUUCGAAGUAUUUCCAGAACAGUGAGGGGCCUGUCCUACCAACAAAUAACUACUCAAUGAACAAAACUUGGUUCAAGAGGAAAUUGGGAAAUGGUUGUGGUGAGGAAGUGACUUGCUCAUUGCUCACUUCUAAAAAGUCUGCAUUUUGUAUCUGUUGUCUUCUGUAUUCCCGGUCAGACCAUCAAUCCUCAUUGGAGCAGGAAAGUGGAUUCAACCAGUGGAAAGCACCUGAAAAGGUUAGUGUUCAUGAAAAUGCCAGAAUCAUUGGGAUUGCUUCACACAGUGGAAAGAAAUGGAAAGAAAUUUAGCUGGAAACAGAGGAGUUAUUGACGUGGUAUUUCAAUCACAGAUUGAGAAGGAAAAGCAGAAGUGGCGUGAUAUCUUGACAAGAAUCCUUCACUGCAUAAAAUUCCUUGCGACUCAGAACCUGGCUUUGCGAGGACACAGGGAGUCACUUCAGCUAGACGAUGACUCCAAUGGGGGAAAUUUCCUUGGCUUACUGAAACUACCGGCCAUCUUUGACCCUGUCAUAAAAGAACACCUCACUCAUUUGGAAAGUCAUCCUGGAUCCACGUCUUAUCUUUCAUCAGGUGUCCAGAACAAAUUCAUCCACAUGAUGGCAUCCACUGUUCACCAGAGUUCACUGAGAAGCAUUGGUAAAGCCAAGUACUAUGGUCUCAUGUUUGACUCAACACCUGAUCAGGCACACUGAGCAGAUGUCAGACGUAGUGAGGUAUGUGGAAGUUGAUUUUGAGAGGGAAACAGUCCAUGUUAGAGAGUCCUUCCUUGGUUUUAUCCAGAUAAGCCAGAAGGAUGCUAAGAGCUUGGUUGAAGACAUCUUGAAACAGCUAGAAGGACAAAAUGGAGCUACAAGAUUGUCGGUCACAGUACUAUGACAACAGGACCUAAGGCUCCACCUGUACCUCCUUCUUAAUGGUAGGAGCAAGAAGAGAGCAUGGUCUGGAAGAUGGGUGUCCUUGCUGAUUGAUACAGCUUCAGUACUUAAAAUGACUGAUAGCAUUGGUUAUUUUUUCCUCUUUUUGCAAAUGUCAUUUUAAUCUAUUUUUAAUAGAAAAAGUAAAUAAAGAUUUCCAGUCAUCACAUGAUGGGAAUUAGCAUUCUGGAUCUCCAGCUUCCUCCAGCUGGUAAAGGAAAAUAAUACUGCCUUUGUUCCAGUUACUGAAAAACGUCACAAGUGCAAAAAAAAAUACAGAACCUGGCAAUGAGUUUGGUUAGCUGUUUAACAAGGCCCCUGGUAUUAAUUUUUCAUGGAUAACCGAGGAUAACAUUCACCUAUUGUCCCAAAGAUCUUCAAAGGAACAUAACUCUACUUUAUAAAACUCUGGUUAGGCCACAUCUGGAGUAUUGUGUACAGUUUUGAUUGCCCCACUACAGGAGGGAUGUUGAGGCUUUGAAGAAGGUGCAGAAAAGGUUUAUCAGGAUGUUACCCAGUCUAGAGGACAUGUGCUACCACGAGAGGCUGGACAGCCAGAGCCCGAGGGGAAAUCUAAUAGAGGGUUUAUAAGAUAAUGAGAGGCAUAGAUAGAGAGGACAGAGAAUAUCUGUUUCUCAGGGUUGAAACGUCUAAAGCCAGAAGGAAUGCAUUGAAAGCAGUGGUGGGCUAAGGAGAGAAGCGAGCAUACUGGUAGAGAGAUGCAAGAGAGCAGGGAGCAGGUGCGUAUCUACGGAAAAUAGCGCCUUUGGCAAACACUGAAAUUGCGCCCCUGUCCAAACAUCCAACACCCAUCUUUUAGAUAACUUUACCAUAAUAUCAGCUCAAAAAUACAAGUCAAACUUUUAACUAACAAAUUAUGGUACUACAUGAAAAUUGUUACUGCAUUUUCCUUGCUUUCACUGAUGCAAAUUGGUCUAUGAUGUGAUGAAAGUCAGUUUUUCAGUUUCUUCCUUCUACGCUCAGCAGAGCGAGAUCACAGAGUCUGCCUUGACCCAAUGAGACUCUCAAAUGCAAAAGUAUAGUUUUAACUUGCUGAAAGAUCUCUCACAGCUGGCGAUGGAAACUGCGAUGUUUAGCAUUAUCUGAAUAGCAAUGAAGAUUGGGGAAGACGCUCUCAUCUCCAUACUGAACAAUAAAUUCAAGAAGCCCUUCAGGUCUUGAUAUUUUCAUGUUGACCCACCUUGAUAGCAACAUCCUGCAAUCCAACAAUCAAGCUCCUGAACUGGUGAGGAUAACUUCUGAAUUGAUUCCACAACCUACAGACUCACUUUCAAGCUCGUUGCAGCUCAUGUUAUCAGUACUACUUAUUUGAUUUUUGUAUUAAUUAUUUGUUUGGUUGCCCUCUUUUGCAUGUUGGUUGUUUGCUGGUCUUUGUUAUUUAUAAUUUUUCAUAAUUUUAAUUCUAUUACUGUACUGUUUUCCUGUAAAUGCCUGCAAGAAAAUGAAUCUCAAACUGCUAUACGGUGGAAUACAGUACGUGUUCUCUGAUAAUAAAUUUACUUCGACUUUACCUGCAGUACCUCCAAGAGGAUUGCAGCUUUAUCAUGGCUAGACUUGUGUACAUCAAUGACCUGAAGGACUAUGCUGGUUGGAGUCAGGGUUUUAUGCUUUGGCUUUUGGUAGGGCCGCCCAUGCUAAGCAGGUCAAAUGUCAUAAGAUGGGCAUUGAGAGCGGACCCAAAUGCAAGACACAGACACUGAAGUACUAGGGAUAGGACUAGGUGUGUCAAGAAAGCAAGGGAAGUGGGGAAGAAAUGCCGCUGAAACAGGCCCUGGACAAGACUAGGAUACAGGGCCAGGGCUAGGACUAGACUAGGAAAGCGGAACCUGGAACCUGGACAAGGACUCCAAGCCAGAGUCUGGACAAGAACCUGGAACCUAGGUCUUAACUUGGGCUCGGACUCCAGAUCUAGGCUCGGACAAGA